UACAGAGGUCUCAAGCGUUGUUCGGAUUCAUUGGGCGUAAAGGGUGCGUAGGUGGCGCGGUAAGUCGGGUGUGAAAUUUCGGAGCUUAACUCCGAAACUGCAUUCGAUACUGCCGUGCUUGAGGACUGGAGAGGAGACUGGAAUUUACGGUGUAGCAGUGAAAUGCGUAGAUAUCGGGAGGAACACCAGUGGCGAAGGCGACUACCUGGCCUGUUCUUGACGCUGAGGCGCGAAAGCUGGGGGAGCAAACGGG
rnacentral:rRNA from 1 species